rnacentral:rRNA from 1 species
GAUGAACGCUGGCGGCGUGCCUAAUACAUGCAAGUCGAGCGAACAGAUGAGGAGCUUGCUCCUCUGACGUUAGCGGCGGACGGGUGAGUAACACGUGGAUAACCUACCUAUAAGACUGGGAUAACUUCGGGAAACCGGAGCUAAUACCGGAUAAUAUAUUGAACCGCAUGGUUCAAUAGUGAAAGACGGUUUUGCUGUCACUUAUAGAUGGAUCCGCGCCGCAUUAGCUAGUUGGUAAGGUAACGGCUUACCAAGGCAACGAUGCGUAGCCGACCUGAGAGGGUGAUCGGCCACACUGGAACUGAGACACGGUCCAGACUCCUACGGGAGGCAGCAAUAGGGAAUCUUCCGCAAUGGGCGAAAGCCUGACGGAGCAACGCCGCGUGAGUGAUGAAGGUCUUCGGAUCGUAAAACUCUGUUAUUAGGGAAGAACAAAUGUGUAAGUAACUAUGCACGUCUUGACGGGACCUAAUCAGAAAGCCACGGCUAACUACG